UACGGGGGGAGCAAGCGUUGUUCGGAUUUACUGGGCGUAAAGGGCGCGUAGGCGGCCACCGCAAGUCGACUGUGAAAUCUCCGGGCUUAACCCGGAAAGGUCAGCCGAUACUGCGGGGCUAGAGUGCAGAAGGGGCAACUGGAAUUCUCGGUGUAGCGGUGAAAUGCGUAGAUAUCGAGAGGAACACCUGCGGCGAAGGCGGGUUGCUGGGCUGACACUGACGCUGAGGUACGAAAGCGUGGGGAGCGAACAGG
rnacentral:rRNA from 1 species